GAUGAGGAAAUGGCGACCGCAGAAGGAAAUGUAGCAGCACCGGCAACCGGCAUCCGUGGGGCCACGCCGGGCUGCUUCCCAGGGCCCUCCAGCCAAGCAGCCACAGGAAAGAGUAGAUGUUGAUCCCAAGCUAGGACUGAGGAGUCCGUCCCUAAGAGCCGAGGGAGUCAGACCUGCGUGCUCUGAGGCUGCCCGACCCUGAGCUCCAGAACAGACCAUCGAGUUCAGGAGACAAGCAUGUCAGCCAUGACACAAGGCAGAUGAGAGGGACCCCCAGCGUCCACACGUGGAGGCAGCGGGGGCAGCCGUGACUUCCUUCUGCAGUGUUGAUUCAGCUCCCUUUGAAGGCGGAUCCAUACAAACAGGCUGACCAUCAGGGCUGGUCCCAGGCCACCAGGCUGGGUGCAAUGCAGAAAUGGAGAUCUGCCCCGGGGAAGGCAGGUGAGUGUAGGAAGGAGGGAGGGCUGCGAGAAGCUGGGGGCAGCCUCCAUCCCCCUGUGGCCU
rnacentral:lncRNA from 1 species